GAUGUAAUUGAUUUACAGUUUCCAUACUUAUGAUGAAUUCAGAAAUAAUUUUCAUAAAUAUCAAAAAAGGCAUAAAUGCCUACAGAAUAGCAAAUGGGGAAUAUAAUCUUUGGGGAAAGGAAAAAUAAAAUGCGAGGAAAACAAACUCACAAAGUUGACAAUAGAAAACACUAGUAUCCGAAUGAUCCCUUGUCGGCCUUCGCCUUCUUGGGUAAACCCACCUCAUGCCAUACACGAUACCUGUUGGUGAUCGGAUGUCUUCUACAAAAUUAAAGCUUCCAAGGAAAGACAAAUAUCCGAUAUGCAUUAUAAGGAUUUUACCGUCUUGCGCACUCAUAUAUUUCCACCAAUCGUUCGACUUAAUCAUUAUCUUGAAUCCUCUUAUGGGAUUGGUUAAUCCAUACCUACACAAAAGGAAACAAGGUAAGCUUUUCUCCCCACACCAAAUAAUGAUAUUGGAUUAGAUUUAUUGACACAUACUACUUCAACUUAUAAAUAUGAUUCACUGUGAUUGACUCAUGGUCACUAGACAUUGGGUAGAUUUUUUAAUGGACCUAAUGCCCCCUCUUAUAUAUAUCCCCCCCCCCCCCCCCCCCCCCCCAAUACAUAGAGGUUUUGGAUUCCCUAGUCUUAUGCAUAAAAAUGAUUUUGAUUUUGCUCUAUCCUAGAUAUCUAGAGUGAAUUUUGACCAGGUUUUCAAGUGGAUAACUUAGGUUUUGAAAUACAAAUAGUCAUCGGACACCUAACACAACAAUAAACUGUCAUACUUCCAACACUUUCAUUUGAAAUUAAUCAAUAAAGGCCACGACAACCGCGAAACUCCAAAAAUUUAAGGAUCAAUAAGUAAGUAUGUCAUGAAUGCAGAUGAUAGAUUAUCACAAGAUAUUACUAAUCUAGCAUAGUUAUUCAAAUAAGCUCAAAUAAAUCAAAUAGUUUAAAAAAUAGUUAGAAUCUUAAUAAAUUCCCUUGCAGAGUCAUCAGUUCUGUUUUAUACCUUUUCGAAUCGAAGUUGGAAAACAUGGGUCUUUGACUUUUAAACUAUUUCAAAACUUUAAAGAAAAUCUCAAAAUAAUUUAAGAAAAUACAGAGUCGCACACUUAAUUUUUAAGAAAAUAUCAAGAAAAAAAUAAAAAUAUUUCAAAAUUUCUAAACCAGAAAUAAAUCCUUUUAAGCAUAGAAACUGGGUAAGGAGAUUCACAUAAAACCUUGAGAAGAAUUUUAAGACACUCAACAAGCAUCCACAAAACGACUGACCAAUAGAUAAUUUGGCUGAUUUGCAAAAAUGACUAAUUUUAAAAGCUUGACUAACUUUGUAAAAUCUGAAAUUUAUUUGCAAAUAGGACAUUCAUUUCUUUCAAGUGAAAAAAGUAAUUUACCUAAAUUAAUGGAAGAUCUACUUAAACUAAUUUUCAAAUUAUAUAUAAUAUUCAAGAGAACACAUCAUUUUAUGAAGAAAAAGUUAGUUUAGUCAAAAUAGAAAAAAUGUUUUUCAAAAGGUGAAAAUUUUUGGAAAAAAUGUCAAAUUGAGACAAGUAUUAGAUUAAUUAUAAACACUUGAAUUUCAAGAGGAUUAUUUUAAUAUCAGAAAAAGUCACUUUAACCUAAAUAAAUCACUAAUUAUAUGAACAAAAGUAAAUUUCAUUUUUUUUUGGAAGGCUUACUCUAAAGGGAAAACAUAAAUAAACUUACUUUUAUUAACCUAAGAUAUUAGACUGUCACAAAUGAUAAAGAAAAAAAGGUUGAGAAAAUGGGUUUUGAAAUCAUUUGGACCUGCUAGACUUUAAUCCUCAAUUUUUCAUGAUCUUUUUAGUCCAUUUCCAAUUUUUUUUCCACCUUUGAUAUCAAUGUAUAUCAGCUCCCCUUUUGUAGCAUUUAGGGACACAUUUUUUCAACUUUGAUUUUUUACCCAUUUUUGGGCCUUGACAUUUGACUCAAUGCUAUUGGGCCUUGGACCAUCGAAGAUGCAAAAUGAGAUAGUCCGUUAGGACGCAGACAAAUAUCACAUGCAUCAAAUAAUAGAUAAGGAUUAGCACAUGGUGAAUAUAAUGUAACUUGAUGUUAACAUACUUUUGAAAUAAGCAAGAUCACAUGCGCAUAAAGUCACAGACUUUGCUUAGGAAAACUUUAUGCAUAACAAUGGAAGGUAAAGCUUAGUAGAUAAAAUACAUAAGUCCAUACUACAUUUAGUUGCAAAGAAGUAACAAACUAUUCAUAUUUGUCAUAUGUUUACAGAGAAGUGGUAGGCAUUAGAGGUGUACAAGAAUCGAACCGAUAAACCAAACCGAUAAAAAUGUUAUUGAUUUAUUGUUAUUGGGUUAUUGGAUUAACGAUUUUUUAAUGAUUUUAUAAAAAAAAAAAUUAUUGAGUUAUUUGUUCGGUUCGAUUUUUUCUUAUUGGGUUAUAAUAUAUAUAUAUAUAUAUAUAUAUAUAUAUAUGACUUAUUAUAUAUUUCUUAGAAUCUCUUUAAUUUCUACAAAUUAACAAACUUAUUAUUUCAAUUAUACAAACUCUUAAUUUCUCCCAACAACGUUUAGUUCAAACUUGAAUGUUCUAGUAAAUUAAAACACAUCAUGUAGGAUUUUUGGUGGCAACUAAAAUUCAAUUUUUUUUCAUAUUAGUUACCACUAAUUCUAUUUUAUGAAUAUUUUCUUAUCGGUUAAACCAAAAACCUAACCGUUAGGCAAAUAUAGAUUAUGCAGCCAUUUAGAAUUUCAUGUUAAUGUAAGGAAAAAUUCAAAAUAUACUUUGACAGGUUUUAAUACAUUCUAUUCGAAAAAUAAUGCAAAGAACUAAGAAUUGCCUUCAUUUUAACACCAGAGACAUCCAUGCACUAAAACCCAUUCACAAUUCUUGCUUAGAGUUCCCAGUGAUGAAAAUAUACCAUAGUGAAGAUAUGUUUCACCUUUGUGUUCUGAUCACAAAAAAAAGGGAAAAAAAAUCUGACUACAUGAAUAUUACUGCUGGAAGAGCAUCUAGAAGCAGGCUUGUGGUGAAGGAGAUGAAUAAUGUUCGAUAUUCAUUUACGUCCUCUUGCCCUAUUAAAGAAGAGAACUCAAGAGGCUUCAUCCCCUCCUUGAGAAAGACACUUAUUAGCUAAUUCAAGAGGUCCUUGGGGAAUUCUCAACUUAGAAAACACACUCAAGCUCCUACUUCAGUGAUAUAAAACAAUCAAACAAGAAUAUAAUUGCAAACGGACAAAUUGAUGUCUAUCCUUAAACAUUGUUAUGCUUCAAAACAUAUAAAAAUCUCAUUUUUUUUCACAUCUAAGACCUAUCUCAGUUCCAAAUAAACACAAAAAGGGAAAUCAUUUCAUACUUUACGCUACAAUUUCAAAGAUUUUUUACGGCAUCAAAACAUAUAUAUGUACGUAGGUUCAUACAAGACCAUUCCAAUUAUUUCGCAUAUAUGACCCCAAAUAGAGUUGCCAUGAUUCAACACAAGGGGAAACAGAUUAACAUGCAUAAUUACCUAUUCAUAUGGCUCAUACCAAGACAGGACUUAGCUAAGCGGCGAUAAUUUUUGAAAAUUAGCGUGGAAGUUUCAAACAAGUAGUAUGCAGGCCACUACUAUAUCACGCUACUGAAUUUAAAAGAAUUUGACAAGAUGUAAUGAAUAGCAAAAUCACUUAAAUUUGGCGCGAAACAAACAAAACCACAACCCAUAACAGAGAAGGUAAUUUAGACAAAACAAAUUACCUUUUCUAAAGCAGCACAUUGGGAAUACAAGUUUUCAGAGACGAAACUUCCACCGAAACUGUAUUAUCAAAUUUAUUUCACCAGAGUUCAAAUUCAGACUCGUCGAAGAUCCACAAUUUAUUUCCGAAAUUUGAAUAUAUUUCUUCGUGAGUUUUGGUUUUGUCCGAUAGGAGCAUGCGCCUCUCGAAUUUUUAAUUUUUUUUCCAAAAAUCACUCUUCCUUCAGCCUUUAACUCACUGCCAAUUUAUAUAUAAAAGAAAGGCGGGGCAUUUUGGGUGGAAACAAAGGUGUAGAUUAGGGACUUAUGUCUUUUUGGAUAAGGGUUUUUGAAAAUCGAAUUGAAUUCUACCUAAUUGAGCCACGUUAGUACUAUAGGGCACAAAAUCGUGGGCAAUUGGACACUUGCGAUUCAACAACAACAACAACAAACAACAACAACAAACCUAGUGUAUUCCCACACACUUGCAAUUCAAUUAGGGUAAAAUAAAAAUUUGGGAAUUUGGGAAAAGUCCAAACCAAUGAGCAUGGUUCAUGUAUGUACUGUAUAGUACUAGAUUGCUGGAAUUUUGCUACACCUUAAGGGAUUUGAAUGCUGGCUUCGACGAGGUGUUGCAUUCCUAGAAGCUUUGAGGGAAUUAAAUGGAGUUUCUGACAAAACCCCAUGAGGUUUUGAUGGUGUUGGGGCAUCGUUUGAGGCUGUUGUUUGAUGGAAAUGUUGGGUUGUAUGGUGAGAUGUUGUUUGUAUGUUUUUGCCGAUGUUGAAGUUGUUGUCGGUGUAUGCUGGAUAAGUGGAGGAAUAAUGUUUGGGCCGGAUCGGAUCAGGCGAGUGAUGAGGUUUUAAAUUUAGGUUAUUUAACCGAUAGCUCA
rnacentral:lncRNA from 1 species